rnacentral:rRNA from 1 species
GCGCAACCCUUGUCUUUAGUUGCCAUCAUUAAGUUGGGCACUCUAGAGAGACUGCCAGGGAUAACCUGGAGGAAGGUGGGGAUGACGUCAAAUCAUCAUGCCCUUUAUGCUUAGGGCUACACACGUGCUACAAUGGGUAGUACAGAGGGUUGCCAAGCCGUAAGGUGGAGCUAAUCCCUUAAAGCUACUCUCAGUUCGGAUUGUAGGCUGAAACUCGCCUACAUGAAGCUGGAGUUACUAGUAAUCGCAGAUCAGAAUGCUGCGGUGAAUGCGUUCCCGGGUCUUGUACACACCGCCCGUCACACCACGGGAGUUGGAGACGCCCGAAGCCGAUUAUCUAACCUUUUGGAAGAAGUCGUCGAAGGUGGAAUCAAUAACUGGGGUGAAGUCGUAACAAGGUAGCCGUAUCGGAAGGUGCGGCUGGAUCACCUCCUUUCUAAGGA